AACGAACGCUGGCGGCGCGCUUAACACAUGCAAGUCGAACGAGAAGGCGUAGCAAUACGCUGGUACAGUGGCGAACGGGUGAGGAAUACAUGGGUAACCUACCCUCGAGUGGGGGAUAACCCGCCGAAAGGCGGGCUAAUACCGCGUACGCUUCCGAUCUUGCGGGAUCGGAAGGAAAGCUGUCCCAAGGGGAUGGCGCUCAAGGAUGGGCUCAUGUCCUAUCAGCUUGUUGGAGGGUAACGGCCUACCAAGGCAUCGACGGGUAGCUGGUCUGAGAGGACGAUCAGCCACACUGGCACUGCGACACGGGCCAGACUCCUACGGGAGGCAGCAGUGAGGAAUAUUGCGCAAUGGGCGAAAGCCUGACGCAGCGACGCCGCGUGGGGGAGUGAAGGUCUUCGGGUUGUAAACUCCUGUCAUUUGAGAACAAGGUGCACCGGUUAACUGCCGGUGCAUUGAUAGUAUCAGAAGAGGAAGAGACGGCUAACUCUGU
rnacentral:rRNA from 1 species